GAAGAAGUUGCCUCUAGAGGGUUAGGAGUUGGAUUUAGGUUUGUUAUGGGAGCAACGUAUGAGGAAAGAGUGCUGCUAGCAAGGCAAAGGUAAGAAGAGCAUAGAGGAUUCAACUUUUCUGUAGUUUCUUGCUGAGUAAAUGACAUAGGUCAAGAAGAAGUUAAACUGAGUACUAGAGAGCUUUAAAACUGAAGAAGAGACUGACAAAUAGCAUUACAUAUUUGAAAUCUUUUUGAUAACUUCAGUGGUUUGGGACUUCCUGGGAAGGUUUUAAAGGAGUUCAAGAUUCAUGGUUAACCUACUAGCAGAAUCACUGUUCCUCAAAAGAAGAGCUUCAGAAAUCAUCAUGAAGGAAUCAAAGGGCAUACUCUGAAUAAGUUCCAGUAAUGUCAACUUUAUAUGCAUGUCAGUGCAUCCUUUACGAAAUUGUUGAGCAGUCUUGUGAUUCUGAACUUGAGAUAAAUCCUCUGCCAUGUGUGUCUUUGCGUAGAGACAUGUGGGUCAAUAAUUAAUGAAAACAAAAUAAAACUACUACUGACAGGUGGGCUUUGAAAAGCAAUCUUUGUGAUAAAUAUAAACUUCAGUAGCUAUCUCACCAUUGAUUCAUAGAGUCUUUGUUAGCAUCAAAAAAUAUUUGCUUGAGGCCCUAGAGAAUUUUUUACACCUUGGCUUUGUCAGGUUGGAAAAUAUAUUUACAUACAACGUUUAUUUGAAGCUCGAGAAAGCGGAGAAAGAUAAAACAUUCCGUUGGAUUUAGUUUACUUUCUGUUUUUUUAUUUGAUUUUCAUUUCUUUAGUACACUGUUGGGGAGCAGGGGGAGGAAAGUUAAGGGUUUCUUUUAUAGUUACUUAUUUCUGCGCAAUGUUCUCCUUUUAAAAUGACAGUGCAACUAUGAUUUAGCCUUACCAAAAAUUUUUUAGAGGAAAAAUAAAAGAGUUCUGAACUGCCUUACCAUUUAAUGACCAGAGUCAUUAAUGUUAGAUGUUAAUUUGUUAAUGUUAGUCAUUAAUAAUAGAUGUAAAUCUAUCAAAAUGUAGAAUUGAAAUGGCUACAAUAAACUUUGGAUAUUUUAAAAGCAGAACUGAUUUUAGGUCCUCUCAUUCUCUCAUCUGUCCAGAUCAUCUAAUAACCAAUGUAUCUGCUACAGAUACAGAUCUACUCUGGAGGUUCUAUCUUAUCCACUGUAACAUUCAGUUAUUUUACCACUCAGCAUUUAUUAAAUUUUCUCAAUUCUCUGUUU